CUACGGGCGGCUGCAGUGAGGAAUAUUGCACAAUGGGGGGAACCCUGAUGCAGCAACGCCGCGUGGAGGAUGACGCAUUUCGGUGUGUAAACUCCUUUUAUAUGUCAAGAAAAUGACGGUAGCAUAUGAAUAAGCACCGGCUAACUCCGUGCCAGCAGCCGCGGUAAUACGGAGGGUGCAAGCGUUACUCGGAAUCACUGGGAGUAAAGGACGCGUAGGCGGGUUGGAAAGUCAGGUGUGAAAUCCUACAGCUUAACUGUAGAACUGCACUUGAAACCUCUAAUCUAGAGUAUGGGAGGGGUAAAUGGGAUUAGGUAUGGCUGAGUAGAACCCCUAGAUAGUUCUAGGAAUUACUAAAGGGAAGGUGAUGUCCCGAAAAAUUGCAGACGCUAAGGCGUUAAAGCGUUGGAUACAUACCGGUCUAUAUAGCAUAGUUGUC
rnacentral:rRNA from 1 species